rnacentral:lncRNA from 1 species
UUGGAAUUUUACAAUGUCAAGGCUUCAUUUAACCAUGCUGAACCCAGGGACAAAAAGGGGAACUCAUGCUGCAGUUUCUCCUGCUUGAAAGUUGUGGAGUUGUGUCCAACUGUCGUCGAUACUUUGCAGCUUAAGUAUCCUGUCCAGUGUGUGGACAACUGUGAUGGUCGAGAUGGACAAGUGGUGUUUGAGUCAGAAUCAUUUCCCAUUCAUUUCCAAUACACUGGUCAACCAAAUGCUUCUGUUCCAUGCCUGGAAAAUCCAGAGGGUAAAGAUGGAGUAGUGGUGAUCGGCCGUGAAUCAUUUCCAAUGCUCCUGUUGCAUCUCUCAAGUGGAAGACCUUGAUCAAGAUACCGAUGCAUAUUCAUUUACAUAUACCUGUAAAAAGUAGUAUUACUUGAACAAAUUUAUAUGUAAAUGAAUCAGUAUUUGUUUUUUAUUAAAAUAUUUUUAAACAGCUU